rnacentral:rRNA from 1 species
UACGUAGGGUGCAAGCGUUGUUCGGAAUCAUUGGGCGUAAAAGCGUGUGCAGGCUGUUAGCUAAGUCGAGUGUGAAAUCCCUGGGCUUAACCGAGGAAGUGCAUUCGAAACUAGCUAGCUAGAAGACGGCAGAGGAAGGUGGAAUUCCAAGUGUAGAGGUGAAAUUCGUAGAUAUUUGGAGGAAUACCGGUGGCGAAGGCGGCCUUCUGGACCGUUCUUGACGCUGAGACACGAAGCGUGGGUAGCAAACAGG